CAACCUGCCCGCCACUUGGGGAUAACCUUGCGGAAGUAAGACUAAUACCCAAUGAUAUCUCUAGAAGACAUCUGAAAGAGAUUAAAGAUUUAUCGGUGAUGGAUGGGGAUGCGUCUGAUUAGCUUGUUGGCGGGGUACGGCCCACCAAGGCAACGAUCAGUAGGGGUUCUGAGAGGAAGGUCCCCCACAUUGGAACUGAGACACGGUCCAAACUCCUACGGGAGGCAGCAGUGAGGAAUAUUGGUCAAUGGACGAGAGUCUGAACCAGCCAAGUAGCGUGCAGGAAGACGGCCCUAUGGGUUGUAAACUGCUUUUAUAAGGGAAUAAAGUGAGUCUCGUGAGACUUUUUGCAUGUACCUUAUGAAUAAGGACCGGCUAAUUCCGUGCCAGCAGCCGCGGUAAUACGGAAGGUCCGGGCGUUAUCCGGAUUUAUUGGGUUUAAAGGGAGCGUAGGCCGGAGAUUAAGCGUGUUGUGAAAUGUAGAUGCUCAACAUCUGAACUGCAGCGCGAACUGGUUUCCUUGAGUACGCACAAAGUGGGCGGAAUUCGUGGUGUAGCGGUGAAAUGCUUAGAUAUCACGAAGAACUCCGAUUG
rnacentral:rRNA from 1 species